AUGCAAGUGUAAGUACGAGCUCGAGUACAGUGAAACUGCGAAUGGCUCAUUAAAUCAGUUAUGGUUCAUUUGAUCGUACGCUUUAAUACAUGGAUAACUGUGGCAAUUCUAGAGCUAAUACAUGCGUGAAGCGCCGACUUGACRGGAGGCGCGCAUUUAUCAGACCAAAACUAACCGUGUUUCGGCACGUUCAGAUGGUGACUCUGGAUAAGCUCGCGGAUCGCACGGUCUUGCACCGGCGACAUCUCUUUAAAGCAACUGCCCUAUCAACUAUCGUCGGUACGGUAUCGGCCUACCGAGGUUGUAACGGGUGACGGAGAAUCAGGGUUCGAUUCCGGAGAGGGAGCCUGA
rnacentral:rRNA from 1 species